AGAGUGAACGCUGGCGGUAGGCCUAACACAUGCAAGUCGAACGGCAGCACAGUGGUAGCAAUACCAUGGGUGGCGAGUGGCGGACGGGUGAGGAAUACAUCGGAAUCUACCUUUUGGUGGGGGAUAACGUAGGGAAACUUACGCUAAUACCGCAUACGCCCUUCGGGGGAAAGCCGGGGACCUUCGGGCCUGGCGCUGAUAGAUGAGCCGAUGUCGGAUUAGCUAGUUGGUGAGGUAAUGGCUCACCAAGGCGACGAUCCGUAGCUGGUCUGAGAGGAUGAUCAGCCACACUGGAACUGAGACACGGUCCAGACUCCGUACGGGAGGCAGCAGGUGGGAAUAGUGGACAAGUGGGCGCAAGCCUGACUCCGAGCCAAUACCCGGCGGUAGGGUAGAA
rnacentral:rRNA from 1 species